rnacentral:rRNA from 1 species
AACGAACGCUGGCGGCAUGCCUAACACAUGCAAGUCGAACGAGACCUUCGGGUCUAGUGGCGCACGGGUGCGUAACGCGUGGGAACCUGCCCUUAGGUUCGGAAUAACUCCCCGAAAGGGGUGCUAAUACCGGAUAAGGUCUUCGGACCAAAGAUUUAUCGCCUUUGGAUGGGGCCGCGUUGGAUUAGCUAGUUGGUAGGGUAAAAGCCUACCAAGGCGACGAUCCAUAGCUGGUCUGAGAGGAUGAUCAGCCACACUGGGACUGAGACACGGCCCAGACUCCUACGGGAGGCAGCAGUGGGGAAUAUUGGACAAUGGGCGAAAGCCUGAUCCAGCAAUGCCGCGUGAGUGAUGAAGGCCUUGGGGUUGUAAAGCUCUUUUACCCGGGAUGAUAAUGACAGUACCGGGAGAAUAAGCUCCGGCUAACUCCGUG